rnacentral:tRNA from 1 species
GCAUCCGUGGUGUAGCGGAAACAUACCGCCCUCCCACGACGGUGACGCGGGUUCGAGCCCCGCCGGGUGCUC